CAGAACUGUAUCUUGUUUCUUUGGUUAAGACGGCAAAAAAAAGUUCUUUUUAGAACUGUAUCUUGUCGUUGGUUAAGACGACAAAAAAGUUCUUUUCAGAACUAUCUAGUUUCUUUGGUCAAGACGGAAAAAAAAGUUCUUUUCAGAACUAUCUCCUGUCUCUAAGGUUAUCAGAAACACAAUAAAAAAGUUCUUUUCAGAACUGUAUCAUGUUAUUAUGGUUAUCAGAAGAUCCUUUGGCUCUAUGCCUGCAAGAUGUAUUAAAUUUAAAUGUAUUGGUGUUUCAGGGAGCUGUUCUAGCUGUAGGUGGAAAGUAGGCGGUCAGUUGGUGCCAGGAGACGUGCCAAGAGUUGUGCCCUUUGGUUAGUGCUUGUGUAAUGCAUGCAAUGCAAGUUUCAGCCGAGGUGAACCACCAACGCGGCUGCGACGCCUCAGCACGAGCGGCGGCCGUGCUGACUGCAGUUGAC